AUGGCAAGCGUUGCAACAUCAUUAGCUAUGGUUUUCAUUGUAGUUGUCGCCAUGUCCUAUGGCCUCCGCGCCACCCACGCCGACAUCAACUUCAUUGCUCGCACAUGCAAGAAGACCAAUAACUUUGCAUUGUGCAUGGCCGUGCUAAGGGCCAACCCAAAGAGCGCCCAAGCAUCCACCGAGCAUGACCUCGCCAGCAUUGCUCUGCAAAUCGCCACCGACACCAUCCGAAAGAAUGUCGCGGCCAUCUGUGACCUAGAUUAUAAACACCAGGGCACACCCGAGGCGCCGGUGUGGCAUGUAUGUGUCAAGGCACAUGUCCUUGCCGCAGCCGACCUCAUCGCCGGCGCCGGCCCCAGCUUCCACGUUGGGGACUACGCUGAUGUGUUGAAGAUUGUGUCUGAGGCGAAGGGCGCAGGAGAUACAUGCGAGAAUGCAUUCAAGGCGAUCCACAAAGUGUCUCCCGUGGCCGACAAGGACCGUCAGACGACGGAGCGUUGCGGCCUCGCCGGUGACCUCAUCCGCCUGCUCCUCACCAAAUGA
rnacentral:rRNA from 1 species